GUGGUAAUGCCGGAUGCUCCGACUCCUCGCAUGGGGUGUCGGGAAAGAUUUCAUCGGUAUGGGAUGGGGUCGCGUCCUAUCAGGUAGUCGGCGGGGUAACGGCCCACCGAGCCUACGACGGGUAGCCGGCCUGAGAGGGCGACCGGCCACAUUGGGACUGAGAUACGGCCCAGACUCCUACGGGAGGCAGCAGUGGGGAAUAUUGCACAAUGGGCGCAAGCCUGAUGCAGCGACGCCGCGUGCGGGAUGACGGCCUUCGGGUUGUAAACCGCUUUUGAUCGGGAGCAAGCCUUCGGGUGAGUGUACCUUUCGAAUAAGCACCGGCUAACUACGUGCCAGCAGCCGCGGUAAUACGUAGGGUGCAAGCGUUAUCCGGAAUUAUUGGGCGUAAAGGGCUCGUAGGCGGUUCGUCGCGUCCGGUGUGAAAGUCCAUCGCUUAACGGUGGAUCUGCGCCGGGUACGGGCGGGCUGGAGUGCGGUAGGGGAGACUGGAAUUCCCGGUGUAACGGUGGAAUGUGUAGAUAUCGGAAAGAACACC
rnacentral:rRNA from 1 species